CGAAUGUUUUCCUUGGCUGAAUGGCAAGCAAGCACCAAGUGUCCACAGUUUCCGGAGUGUGGAUAUGAACAGCCGUCUUGGGUCCUGAGGUGGAAGCCAUGUGUGGAAGAUGGAGGGCAUCGGUUAGAAGGAGUCUAGUCCCUGAUGGUCACUGAGCUGCAGAACCAGCCUGGGCUGCUUCCUGCUGGAUGUCACUUACUAGAGAGCGA
rnacentral:lncRNA from 1 species